GUCGCCCAGUCGUGUCCGACUCUUAGUGACCCCCAUGGACUGCAGCCAACCAGGCUCCUCCAUCCAUGGAAUUUUCCAGGCAAGAGUACUGGAGUGGGGUGCCAUCGCCUUCUCCUGGGGUUGUCCAAAUCUGCAUGGCAAGUCACAAAGCCAAAUUUAAGAAAGUGGCCGCAUCAAAGUUGUGAUUAAAAUGAGUUUUUGUUACCUUACAGUGUAAGACAUCAUCAAUGUUAUUUUGUUCAAUGCAGCAAGGUUUACUACAACAUCAUACUAACAGUUUCUCUGUUAUGGGCAAGAGUAUGAUCUAUUUGAUAAGUACUAUUUCAUCCUUAAACACUGAAUGAAAACCUGCAUACCUAAAGAAUGGAGUCCAUGAAGUUCCAUUGACUGGUGGAAUGACAAUACAAAAGUCAUAAAAAGCCAAGAGCUCCUUAAAACUGAUGAAGUCACAAUUAAUGUGAUUAUCCUUAUGUGUAACUAUACUUUAGUGCUUUUCCUAGUGGCAAUUUUUGCUUUAUGUAUAUCAGCUAAAAACUAGGUUAUAAAGCAACAAGGAGGGCAUUUUGUAUUUUGUGGGGAUGUUAUCACUUCCAGUGCUUAGCAGGCUGAUUUAAACAUGGUAGAUGUUCAACGUGUGAAUGCUAAGUCACUUCAUUCAUUUCCUUCUCCAGGGGAUCUUCCUGACCCAGGGAUCAAACCCGAAUCUUAAGCCUUCUGCAUUGGCAAGCAGGUUCUUUACCACUAGUGCCAUAUGAGGUUAUUAUUUACAACAAAUUUUAAAGUUUUGUGGUUGCAUGAGUUUCUAAAGAAAAUAUAAAUUGUGAAAAUUAAACCAAGACAAAAUCUGAAUAACCAUGAAAGGAAAAUGAAGUAGUUGUCAAGAUAUUUCUACCAAAGAAGCAUAAUAUUCUAUUAUUCUUACAGUUAAGUAUUUUAAAAAAAUCUUCACGGAGCAUGAUUCACACAGUAAACUGUUCUAACAUACAAUAAAAAACAGCAAAUUUACAAGCCUCUGUUACAAAGCUAGUAUAAUCCUGAUAGCAAAUUCUGAGAUAACAUAGACCCCCACCUUAAAAAAAAAAAAUCCUAUAGCCUAUAACACAGGUAUAUAGAGACAACAAUCCUGAAUAAAAUACUAGCAAAUCAAAUCUGGACUUUCAUCAGAGAAUAUUGCACUGUAAUUGUUUAAGAAAGCAAAGAUGGUUUAAGGUAAGAAAAUUCAUUUAUACACAUUUACUGAAGGAAAAAUGUAGGAGCAUUUCAAAAGAGGUUUAAAAAUAAUUUGGUAAAGCAUCAUGUCCACGCCUGAUUUUAAACUAACACACUAGGAAUAGACUUUCAUUUUUUGUUUUAUUUUUCAGCUGCAUUGCACAGCAAGUAAGAUCUUGGUUCCCCUACCAGGAUCGAACCCAUGCCCCCUGCUUUGGGAGCACAGGGCCUUAACCACCUGACUGCUGGGAUCCUAUAGUAAACUUCUUGAGGAUAUUGGAUCUUGAAGAUUACAGGUGGCAAACUUUGAAGUGAACUCCACUGAAGAUCUAAGAGGCCCAACUAAAACUGUGGCAUCACAGCUGUGGAUUGAGCAGAACUUUUUGAAAGGGCUACCUUGAAGAUGACAACCUUGGAGGAGCUAUGGUGAUUGGCAGUGGAAAGAAUCAGGACGUGUGAAAAAUCCUUAAAAAUUUAUUGACUUAAAUAACUUUGUCUAUGUUAUGAAUAAAAAGAAACCUUUGUGCAGAAA